rnacentral:rRNA from 1 species
GACGAACGCUGGCGGCGUGCCUAAUACAUGCCAGUAGAACGCUGAAGGAGGAGCUUGCUUCUCUGGAUGAGUUGCGAACGGGUGAGUAACGCGUAGGUAACCUGCCUGGUAGCGGGGGAUAACUAUUGGAAACGAUAGCUAAUACCGCAUAAUAGUAGAUGUUGCAUGACAUUUGCUUAAAAGGUGCAAUUGCAUCACUACCAGAUGGACCUGCGUUGUAUUAGCUAGUUGGUGGGGUAACGGCUCACCAAGGCGACGAUACAUAGCCGACCUGAGAGGGUGAUCGGCCACACUGGGACUGAGACACGGCCCAGACUCCUACGGGAGGCAGCAGUAGGGAAUCUUCGGCAAUGGACGGAAGUCUGACCGAGCAACGCCGCGUGAGUGAAGAAGGUUUUCGGAUCGUAAAGCUCUGUUGUAAGAGAAGAACGAGUGUGAGAGUGGAAAGUUCACACUGUGACGGUAUCUUACCAGAAAGGGACGGCUAACUACGUG